rnacentral:lncRNA from 1 species
CGCUGUUCGAGUUCUCCUCGACGCUGUCGAAACUUCUUAUUUUCACUGGCUUUGGUGCUGGAGUUCUGGUGAUCGGGGCAUUUUGGUCAUUUUGGGCAUUUGGUCUUGAUAUCCUAACCGGCGCCGCCCUGACAGGCGGAGGAGGAGGUGGUGGUGGAGGCGCAUUUCUCUUUCUCCUAGCUUUUUUGGAUGUGAACAGGUUCUGAAACAACGAAGGAGGUGGUGGCGGAGGUGGAGUGAUGAAUGUUUCCGGCCAUUCAUGAUAAUGGAGAGGAGGAGGUUCUGAUUUAUGGAGGAGAGCAUCAAAAUUAUCGACACUCUUUGACCUGUUUUUCCUCUUCUUCUUAUGAUACAAAGAAUUGAUAAAC